rnacentral:rRNA from 1 species
AGAGUUUGAUCCUGGCUCAGGAUGAACGCUAGCGACAGGCUUAACACAUGCAAGUCGAGGGGCAGCGAGGGCGUAGCAAUACGCCUGUCGGCGACCGGCGCACUGGUGAGUAACACGUAUGCGACCUGCCCCCUACAGGGGUAUAACCCGUAGAAAUGCGGACUAAUCCCCCAUAGUCCUGGGUGCUGCAUGGCAUUCAGGGGAAAGGCCAGCCGGUAGGGGAUGGGCAUGCGGCGCAUUAGCUAGUUGGCGGGGCAACGGCCCACCAAGGCGACGAUGCGUAGGGGUUCUGAGAGGAAGGUCCCCCACACUGGUACUGAGACACGGACCAGACUCCUACGGGAGGCAGCAGUGAGGAAUAUUGGUCAAUGGGCGCAGGCCUGAACCAGCCAAGUCGCGUGAGGGAAGACGGUCCUACGGAUUGUAAACCUCUUUUGUCGGGGAGUAACGUGCGGGACGCGUCCCGUAUUGAGAGUACCCGAAGAAAAAGCAUCGGCUAACUCCGUGCCAGCAGCCGCGGUAAUACGGAGGAUGCGAGCGUUAUCCGGAUUUAUUGGGUUUAAAGGGUGCGCAGGCGGCGCGCCAAGUCAGCGGUCAAAGUUCCGGGCUCAACCCGGUGUCGCCGUUGAAACUGGCGUGCUCGAGUGCGUGCGAGGAAGGCGGAAUGCGUUGUGUAGCGGUGAAAUGCAUAGAUAUGACGCAGAACUCCGAUUGCGAAGGCAGCUUUCCAGCGCGCUACUGACGCUGAGGCACGAAAGCGUGGGGAUCGAACAGGAUUAGAUACCCUGGUAGUCCACGCAGUAAACGAUGACUACUAGCUUUCCGGGAUGAUUGAGUCCUGGGAGGCACAGCGAAAGCGUUAAGUAGUCCACCUGGGGAGUACGCCGGCAACGGUGAAACUCAAAGGAAUUGACGGGGGCCC